UGAGUCCCCUCGUCCUCCCUGUUGAUCGAAGCAAGCGAAUUGCGGAUCUCGUAAGAGAUAUAAUGGCACCAGACCAUAUAGUUAAGGCUAUCACAUCAUUGCAACCCUACAAAUCUCCAGGGCCGGAUGACAUAAGGGCAAACUAGCUUAGCUGCAAGUAGCGUGUACGGAGUCAUCGUAUCUUCGAAAUGCACCCCCAGGCAGAGCUCAAAUCCUUUUCGACCCACAUAUCCCUGACUAGUGCAUGUAGUCCAGGCUAAGAUGUGUACCGUUAAAUCAACCUCGACUGUCAGAAGGCUACGCCGAUGAAAUAAUUGGCUCCGUCCAUAGAAACGAAGACUGAAGACACCGUUACUAGUUCAGAGUUAUCCAAACCUUGAUUGAGCAGACAAUCUAUACCAUCCUAACAAAAAAUUACAUGAACCAAAAAAAAAUGAAAUCAACAAUCAAAAGACUAAUUAAGUUUGAAGUCGCAAACCUCAUUAAAGCGACUUGUUUAACCUGCAAAAAGAAGAUGUAUUUUAGACCACUACAUCUGGCCUUAUUAAUCUGCUUGUAAGUAGCACUAGUAGAAGUGUUCUUUAUUGAAUUUGUUAUACAAAAACUUUUCUUUAACAUGUGUAUAAGGUUUGAUAAGUAAAUUAAAUAUUAAAUUAAAUGUCGUACUGCUCUGCUGGCUUGGCUUGAAUGCCAUUCGCCAUAUUGUUUGACUAAUGUCAAUUUUUACUACUGCGUACUUCUGUAUAUAUUCUUUUAUUUUAUGUUUGUUGUUACAUGAUGGGAUUAAUUUAACUCAUUGACUUAUUUGUUUAUUACUUAUAUAUUUACAUGCAUUUAAGAUCCGCAUGAUAAACAGGCAU